ACAGAGCGCGAGUGGAUCCUCAGAUUUCUUGGGGAAGGGCUGCGUGACAAACUUUGCUGUGAGCUUUAUGUCUACCAGAGGAUUUUCCGGGUCAUUCUUGCCUUUUUCAGCAGUCCUUUGUGUGACAAGGGCUCCCAGAGUCGUAUUCUGGAGAUAUCACAGAGUGCUGCCCCUGUCACCUCUAGAGCUGCCCAUGAGCUGAUAGAGGAUCACAGCCUCCUCUCGUGGGUCCUGCACGGCUUAGAGAAAAGGUUUCUGGAGAACCAGGUGAUAAAUAAAAUUAUUUCCUUACUCCAUCCUCUGUGGCUAAUAAAUUUAGGAGACAAGAGAGAAAACAGGAAUCGAUCCCAGAUGCUGCUGUUGAGAUGGAUAUAUGAUCUACCUGUAUAUAGAUGUAUGUGUAUAUAUGUAUAUCUGUGUAGUGAUAAUAAUGGGAGUUUUUAUGAUACGUUGCUUUACUGUUUUAUAUUUUUAAUAAAGUGUGA